rnacentral:lncRNA from 1 species
GAGAAGGGGCCUCACAGUGCCAGGGUCGGGGCUGUGGCCCUUAAGCAGCAGCUCACCCACCAUCACCCCCAGGCUGUACCUAUGUCAGAGACUUCGAUAGCGUUUAGGAAGGACGCUCUGGCUUGCCCCCAUCGAUACUCAGGCAUCAACUCAUCCAUGGUGGCACCAUGUUUACAGGGCCACCAGUGGCCGGGGGUGUCUUGGGAAGACCAGACCAGUGGAAGCCCCAGUUAAAGGUUGAUAUUGAGUAUUUUACCCAGUUGCAAGCCAAGAAGCACUAUGAACAGCAUCUUCAUUUGCUGCAGCCACAUCUGACCUUGGUUCCCAUACCAAGUUGCCACUUCCUGACUGUAACCAUUUGCGGCUAUACCAGAAUCUCACAAUGUGCCCCGUGAAAAAAGACAAGGAAAUGCAGCAGUCCAAGCCCCUAACUGGAGGAGGCUCCUGACUCUGGGGACUUACUCCUUCACUCAUCUCCUGCCAGCAGCAGAUGGAGCCGGUCUGGGCUAUGGAAAGGCCCUGAGCGCAAAGGGUUAACACGCUGCCCCUGGAAUGACUGGGCUUUCCCUCGAUUGGUGCUGCCUUUCAGGCCCAGGCCUGCCUGAUGAUUCUUGGUGUAGGUUAAAGGACCAUGAAUUUGUGGCUCCUGAGUGCGUGGUAAUGAGCUCAGGCACCAAAAAUUGAGAACUGGUUAUACUUGGCUUCUCCAUCCAGGUUGAAAUAGCUCACCUGUAUUCUGAGUGGUGAAGAAAGGGCUUUGAGAACACUGGAUGCCUGAGGAUGGGCAGUAUAGCCUCCAAAAAAAAAAAGAAUCAGAAGCUGGUACUAACUAAAGAAUCUGUGAGACCGGGCACGGUGGCUCACGCCUGUAAUCCCAGCUACUUGUUAGACUAAAGCAGGAGAACUGCU